ensembl:lncRNA
GAGUGUGCGAAGCCGUGGAGGAUAUAAAGCCUUUCCCCGGGUCCUUCAGCUGAGCCGUAAGUGAUGAGGGGAGAGGCUCUUUGAACUCUUUCGGGGGUUGGAGGUACCUGCGGACGUUUUCAGGACACCUCAGAUUUGGCAUCUCCAAGAUGAUGAGUUAUUAUAUGGACACAACCAUCGGCAAUGCAGCUCCUUAUCCUUUGGCUUGGCCUGGAAUGAUGAAGCCGGGGCUGCCCGGGCCCUGCGAGGAUCCCUGGGGGACGUGUGGCUUCCCGGCCUCCUGCUGCCC